GACAGAGGUGGCAAGCGUUGCUCGGAGUUACUGGGCUUAAAGGGCGCGUAGGCGGUCGUGCACGUCGGAGGUGAAAUCCCCGGGCUCAACCCGGGAACUGCCUUCGAUACGGCGCGACUCGAGUGCUGGAGGGGAGAGUGGAACUCCUGGUGGAGCGGUGAAAUGCGUAGAUAUCAGGAGGAACGCCGGUGGCGAAAGCGACUCUCUGGACAGCAACUGACGCUGAGGCGCGAAAGCCAGGGGAGCAAACGGG
rnacentral:rRNA from 1 species